UUUUUGUCUUUAGUCAGCUAGAAUGUAUAGUUUAGCGAUAGAAAAAGUUAGGUUAAUUUUAGGUCAGCAUAAUAUCGGUAAAAUGAAGGCAGUCUAAAAAAUUUAUGUACCUAAAAACUUGAAACUAAAAAGUCUGGUUUUACUAGGACUGGGAUUAGAUACCCCACUACUAAAGAUGUCAUAACUCACUACGGGGACUACGAGCAAUAGUGCUUAAAACCCAAAAAGCUUGGCGGUAUACCAAAUCCGGUCAGGGGAACUUGGCGGUUAAUUCGAUGAUCCUCGAAAUACUUUACUUUUUCUUUUCUUUACAUACCGCCGUUGUCAAUCUAUCUUGAAGAGUAAAAAUUUAGGUGUUUGUAGUGUUUGCACUAAUGAAUUCAGGUAAACGUGUAGGUUAUAAAAAAGGCUUAGCUGAGUUACAAUUGUUUAGCAAAAUUUACGGAUAAUUUACUGAAAAAUUAUUUUGAAGGCGUACUUGACAGUAAGAUUUUUUAGAGUGAAAAUCUGAAUGGCGUAAUUGGUAUGUGUACAAAUCGCCCGGCACCCUCGUAUAUAAGAAGAUGAGGU
rnacentral:rRNA from 1 species